UCUCCAUUCAAUAAAUGGUUGUCAUGGCUUUUCGUGGAAUGCAUGUGUCAUAUCAUUAUUAAGGAUUGUCCUACCUAUUUGGCGUUGGCUAUUGAAUGCGUCUGUUUCUUUGUGCUUGUGGUGGUGAGCAUCUUCUUUGUUGCAUCUCAUAUAUGACGAGUGAACUGUGACAUUCUGUUUGAAGCUCAACUUUAGGGACUAUUCAGGACCACCUAUAAAUAUUCAACAUUGAGACGAAGGUAAAAAUGAAAUCACAUCAGAUGCCUGAGCAGGUUGUGUUUUGGAAGUGGAUUACGCCAAAGAUGUUGGGGCUGGUCACACAAACAUCAGUAUAUCAUUGGUCAAUAGAAGGUAAUAUUGCAUUUUUCUUUUCGUACAAGGGUUCUUUUGAACUACAUUCAAUUUCUCGCUUUUCUUUUUUGAUAGAUCAAUUUAUAUUUCAGUUAGGAACUUCCAUUACAUUGUUGAAUUGCUGGCUUUAAAAUUUACAAAACUUAUUUGUAGGUGAUUCAGAGUGUAUAAAGAUUUGUUUCAGAUAUUUUGAUAUGUAACCAUGUGCUAAUA